rnacentral:lncRNA from 1 species
AUAAUCCCCCCUCCCUCAUCCCCAGAUCGCGUCUUCUACACACCACUAUUAUAUCUUUUCACCAUCCCUAACGACCAGAAAUAAAGCUUCACCCAUAACUCACACCCCGGGAGACUUUAAGCUUUCCUUGUCUCAAUCUAAAAUCUAGCCGCCUACCACCAGAAACGGCUGCAAGAUAAACACUCAUACACGCAAGAGACAGAGAAACAGAUCCGGGAGGGUGAAAUGAGAGAAAAUGAAAUGGGGGAAGUGAGCAAAAACCAAAGGGACAAAGAUAUUUUGUGGUUGUUCGGUUUGUGUAUUGAGGAUCGUUCGAGAUCACCGACGAGUUAUUUUUUUCUGGUUCAUGGUACAAUUUUUAGAUUUCUGUUGAUCAUAUAUUAUCCAUGGUUUUACUCAUUUUCUCUAAUUCACUUGAAUAGUUCUAAAUAAAGUUGUAUUUUGGUCCGGACCCAGGCCUAAACGGGCCAAAUGUGUUGGGUCAAACGGGCAUGGGCUUUGACGGGCUGGGCUUUGGCGGUCCCGGACCUAACGGUCCCGUGCCUAAUGGGCCGAAUGAGUAGAGUCAGCCCAUUGCGGUCAGCCCAUAUGGUCCCUGGCCUAAGGGGAAAGCCCACGGGCCUAAACUGGCUUUUUUCUUCUGGCUGUAUUUUUUUUAAAAAAAAAUUAUCAAAAACAAUUUCUUGUAAACUAUAUAGUGAAUUUUUCAUAAAGC